UACGGGAAGGCAGCAGUGGGGAAUAUUGCACAAUGGGCGAAAGCCUGAUGCAGCUAUGCCGCGUGUAUGAAGAAGGCCUUAGGGUUGUAAAGUACUUUCAUCGGGGAGGAAAAACAAAACUAAUAAUUUUAUUUCUUGACGUUACCCGAAAAAGAAGCACCGGCUAACUCCGUGCCAGCAGCCGCGGUAAUACGGAGGGUGCUAGCGUUAAUCAGAAUUACUGGGCGUAAAGAGCACGUAGGUGGUUUUUUUAAGUCAGAUGUGAAAUCCCUGGGCUUAACCUAGGAACUGCAUUUUGAAACUGAAAUACUAGAGUAUCGUAGAGGGAGGUAGAAUUCUAGGUGUAGCGGUGAAAUGCGUAGAUAUCUGGAGGAAUACCUGUGGCGAAAGCGGCCUCCUAAACGAAUACUGACACUGAGGUGCGAAAGCGUGGGGAGCAAACAGGGAUUAGAUACC
rnacentral:rRNA from 1 species